UUACAUGCAAGUCGAGCGGAUGAAGGUACUUCGCUCCCUGACCUAGCGGCGGACGGGUGAGUAAUGCUUAGGAAUCUGCCUAUUAAUGGGGGACAACAUCUCGAAAGGGAUGCUAAUACCGCAUACGCCCUACGGGGGAAAGCAGGGGAUCUCUUGUGAUCUUGCUAUCAUAUAUGACCCUGACUCAUAUUAUCUAUGUGGAGGGGAUGACGCCUACCAGCGACACUAUCUGUCUGGGCUCUGAGAAGAUGAUCCGCCACUCUGACACUGACACACGGCCCACACUCCUACGAGACGCAGCAGUGGAGUAUAUUGCACUGUGGGAGGAACUCUGAUCCACACGUGCCGCGUGUGUGAAGAGUGUCUUAUGGGUGUAAAGCUCUUUAAUCGAAGAAGAGGCUCUUCUAUAUUAUACCUAUGAUGAGUGGACGCUACUCGAAUAAUAACCACCUGAUACCUCUGUGCCAGCAGCCGCAGUACUACAGAGGCUGCCAGCGAUCAUCAUAUCUGCUGGGCGUAAACCGUGCGGAGGCGUGUUUUUAAGUCGGAUGUGAAAUCCCCGUCCUUAUCUUGACAGUUGCCUUCAAUGCUGAGAUGCUAUACUAUGGAAGAUGAUGGAAUAAUUCCAGGAGUAGCGAAGAAAUGCGAAGAGAUCUGGAGGAAUACCGAUGGCGAAGGCAGCCAUCUGGCCUAAUACUGACGCUGAGGUACGAAAGCAUGAGGAGCAAACAUGAUUACAUACCCUGGUAGUCCAUGCCGCAAACGAUGUCUACUAGCCGUAGGCGUCUUAGAUGCUUUAGUGGCGCAACUAACUCGAUAGAUAGACCGCCUGGGGAGUACGGUCGCAUGACUAUCACUCGAAUGAAUUGACGGCCGCCCGCACAAUGGAUGAAGCAUGUAUUCAUUCGAUGCACACAAACACCUACCUGGGCUUGCAUAGAACUAUCUUACAUAGAUGGAUGCUGCCUCAGGAUCUACAUACGGUGCUGCAUGGCUGCNCUCGCUCGGGCGGAAUGGUGAGUAAGUCCCGAACGAAGCCAUCCUUUUCUUACUGCGUAUUCGGGGGGUACUUUAAGAUACUGCCACA
rnacentral:rRNA from 1 species